AUUGAACGCUGGCGGCAUGCUUUACACAUGCAAGUCGAACGGGCUGGGGGCGACUCCAGUCAGUGGCGAACGGGUGAGUAAUGCAUCGGAACGUACCCCGUAGUGGGGGAUAACGCCGGGAAACCGGCGCUAAUACCGCAUAUGCUCUACGGAGGAAAGUGGGGGACGGCAAGGCCUCACGCUAUGGGAGCGGCCGAUGUCCGAUGAGCUUGUUGGUGGGGUAAUGGCUUACCAAGGCGACGAUCGGUAGCUGGUCUGAGAGGAUGAUCAGCCACACUGGGACUGAGACACGGCCCAGACUCCUACGGGAGGCAGCAGUGGGGAAUUUUGGACAAUGGGGGCAACCCUGAUCCAGCCAUGCCGCGUGCGGGAAGAAGGCCUUCGGGUUGUAAACCGCUUUUAGUCGGAAAGAAAAGGCGUCCCCUAAUACGGGGCGUUCUUGACGGUACCGGCGGAAUAAGCACCGGCUAACUACGUGCCAGCAGCCGCCGUAACAC
rnacentral:rRNA from 1 species